rnacentral:rRNA from 1 species
CACCGCCCGUCACACCAUGGGAGUUUGUUGCACCAGAAGUAGGUAGUCUAACCGCAAGGAGGACGCUUACCACGGUGUGGCAGAUGACUGGGGUGAAGUCGUAACAAGGUAGCCGUAGGGGAACCUGCGGCUGGAUCACCUCCUUAA